AACGAACGCUGGCGGCAUGCCUAAUACAUGCAAGUCGAGCGAGCGGCGGACGGGUGAGUAAUGUCUGGGAAACUGCCUGCAGCAUGGGGAUAACUACGGGAAACGGUAUCUAAUACCGCAUUCCAUUCGCUGUGCCCAGAUGGGAGUAGAUGGUAGGUGGGGUAACGGCUCACCUAGGCGACGAUCCCUAGCUGAGCUGAGAGGAUGACCAGCCACACUGGAACUGAGACACGGGCCAGACUCCUACGGGAGGCAGCAGUGGGGAAUAUUGCACAAUGGGCGAAAGCCUGAUGCAGCCAUGCCGCGUGUGUGAAGAAGGCCUUCGGGUUGUAAAGCACUGUCAGCGGGGAGGCGUUACCCGCAGAGGAAGCACCGGCUAACUCCGUGCCAGCAGCCGCGGUAAUUC
rnacentral:rRNA from 1 species